CGUACAUACACCAUUGCAUUGCUCACGCGGACCACGGUCGUAUACACAGGCCUCGAAACUCUCAUGGUGGGGGUAAGGCUUUUAUUGUUAAUGAAUGUCAAAAGUUUCUUGAGUUAACCGCUAGCCGUAUAGCACUGUGAUCGCAUAGAUGUAUCCUUAGUACAAACAUGUGGAAUAUGUGAAACGAUCGUUGAUCAAGCAGAAAUCGCAAAUCAUUCUUGCCUCGAAGGGUACACACAGUACACAAUCGAUCCUUAGACGUUUUAUUUUUAUCCUUUAUUAGAUGAUGGAAUAACUAAUUAAAAAAAGUAGAACGCCGAACAACGAAGAACAAAUAGUAGCGACGCGAUUGCAGGAAAAGAAGACAAGUAUAAUUAAUAUGAGAAUUAUAUAUGCAUAUAAGGGGCGAAUUCUUCUUUUUAUUUAUGAUUGCUAUGCAUUCUUUAAGUCAUGUAUUAUAUUUGUACACAAACGACAUUUCUAAUUUUUAAUAUAUUUGAAUAUUUUUAUGUAUGAUAUAUGUCACUGCAGUUACUAUCACUAUAAAAUAGAUUAGAAUUCUUCAAAAUUUGACGCUAUAUCCCUUUUCAUGGAUUUCAAUUGUCGCUAGUGACAAUCGUGAUCACGUGACCUUUUUGACGCUGAAAAUGAGCGUCGAGCGUCACCAUGAAAAGGCACCUUUAGAGUGUAAUGUAGCACUGGUUCGUUCUUUAUUGCAGUGCAACAAAAUUUAGUGCAACAGUUCACUGUACUCGUUGCACUGGGUCUUGAAGAAGAACAAGCAGUGCAGGAAGCAGGAAAGUUUAAUAUAAUGGCGGCAAAUUAAAUUUUAUGAAUAGUAAUAGAAAGUAAAAUUUGUGCACA